UUGAACGCUGGCGGCAGGCCUAACACAUGCAAGUCGAACGGUAACAGGAAGCAGCUUGCUGCUUUGCUGACGAGUGGCGGACGGGUGAGUAAUGUCUGGGAAACUGCCCGAUGGAGGGGGAUAACUACUGGAAACGGUAGCUAAUGCCGCAUAACGUCGCAAGACCAAAGAGGGGGACCUUAGGGCCUCUUGCCAUCGGAUGUGCCCAGAUGGGAUUAGCUAGUAGGUGGGGUAACGGCUCACCUAGGCGACGAUCCCUAGCUGGUCUGAGAGGAUGACCAGCCACACUGGAACUGAGACACGGUCCAGACUCCUACGGGAGGCAGCAGUGGGGAAUAUUGCACAAUGGGCGCAAGCCUGAUGCAGCCAUGCCGCGUGUAUGAAGAAGGCCUUCGGGUUGUAAAGUACUUUCAGCGGGGAGGAAGGGAGUAAAGUUAAUACCUUUGCUCAUUGACGUUACCCGCAGAAGAAGCACCGGCUAACUCCGUG
rnacentral:rRNA from 1 species